GACGAACGCUGGCGGCGUGCCUAAUACAUGCAAGUAGAACGCUGAAGAGAGGAGCUUACUCUUCUUGGAUAAGUUGCGAACGGGUGAGUAACGCGUAGGUAACCUGCCUUGUAGCGGGGGAUAACUAUUGGAAACGAUAGCUAUACCGCAUAACAAUGGAUGACACCUGUCAUUUAUUUGAAAGGGGCAAUUGCUCCACUACAAGAUGGACCUGCGUUGUAUUAGCUAGUAGGUGCGGUAAUGGCUCACCUAGGCGACGAUACAUAGCCGACCUGAGAGGGUGAUCGGCCACACUGGGACUGAGACACGGCCCAGACUCCUACGGGAGGCAGCAGUAGGGAAUCUUCGGCAAUGGGGGCAACCCUGACCGAGCAACGCCGCGUGAGUGAAGAAGGUUUUCGGAUCGUAAAGCUCUGUUGUAAGUCAAGAACGGGUGUGAGAGUGGAAAGUUCACACUGUGACGGUAGCUUACCAGAAAGGGACGGCUAACUACGUG
rnacentral:rRNA from 1 species